UUUUACUGGCCUUACUAGCCACAACAGAAUACAAGCCGGAUUCCUUGUUUGAUUGUGGAAAACUGAGUCAAAAGACUAUAAAUGCAAGGCUUCUCUUAUUACCUGUCGGCUGGAGGACUCAGGAGUAUCGCUUAAUAAAAGUUAAUCAUGAGAAACUUGUUCAUUAAUUACAGUUCAGGCCGGCUGCCUGCCUGCCCGAUUACUUUGCCGAUUCUUCCUCAUGCUAAGGCAUGUCUUCCUUCGGUCUGGGUUUAGACUUUUUGUUUUUGUCCUUUUUUCUUGUUACUCCACUGGAUCUUUGUCAUUUUUAUUAAAACAAUGUUGGCUGAAACCAUCUGUCUGGUGUCUGUGAAGAGUCCCAGUCAUGAAGCUCAUAGAAAUCCAAGGAGGGAUGAAUCAAUGGCGACAGGACUUAAAGAUGAAGAAGUCGGAAAUUAAUGUAUUACCACUUACCAAGAUAUACCAACUCCUGUAAUUAUUUUGGGUAUAAAGGGUGACUCUACAGUGUGAGUGUGUUAUAGAAAAAUUCAAAAUCCAAUUUAUUCAAAGUUGGCUCUUAGUUUUGUAGUUUGGACCAUCAUUUCUAUCAGUUAUAAUAACAUUGUGCUCACCAAAGUAGUCUGAGGACACAGUGACAUUGCUACAACAUGUCAUGACGCUCAGACAGAUUGUAAACAAGCCAACAGUUUAUGCACAUUAUACAGACCAUUUUAUUCAAAGGAAAAAUGUCAGCAACAAGCCCUCAUUUCACAAAAACGUGUUUGCACUUGGGGUGGACGAUACCAUAUUUGAUUCUUAGCAAAUGACAAAUAAUUAGGGCCAGAAUCACUUAUAUCAGUAACAAUCCAAGACCUUCUAUUACUAGAAGUGGCUAAUGUACUGUCACAGCCAGGUGUCAUGAUAUAUGAAAUGAAAGCAUCAUUAUUAGACUACUUCUGAACUACUACUACUUCUAGACUACUACUACAGUUUCAUUACAACCAAGUGGUUUGCAAUACAUUAGGCAUUUCUUCUGCAAAUAUUCACAAAACAAGAAAGAAGAAGAAAUUGUCAACCAUAAGGCUUUAUUGUGUAAAUUAUCUAAAUUAAGGAGGUAAAUUUUUGACCUUUUGCCAUCAACUCCUGUCUGAAAUAGUUUAAUC